ensembl:lincRNA C530044C16Rik RIKEN cDNA C530044C16 gene
GGAGGCAGACACCGCCAUUCCUGUCUGAUACUUGGGGCUGUAGCUGCUGCAAUCCACUCAGGCCCUCAGCUCUGGUCCAGGAUUCUUCCUGUGUUGCCCAGGUUGGCCAGGAACGUCUGUGUCCAGGUGAUCUUCCUUCUGGAGCAGCUGUCAGCCCGCAUCACUAUGCCUAAGUUAAAUGCUUUAUUAAGUUAAGGAUAAAUCAACAAUCAAAAAUAAGUGGUCAUGGUUGGGAACACCUGUAAUGCCAGAAUCCAGGAUGUGGAGGUUGCCAGGAGUUCCAUCAUAUCCUGGACUUCAUGUUGUUCUUAGGAGUGAGUUGUGGUGGAGACGCAGAGUUCUGGAGAUCCAUGCUGAUAUCUGCGAAGGACCCAAAGAUACAGAAAACUCAUGCCUGCUCCAACUGAGCUGCAUGUUAGACUCAAUGAUGCAGAGGUCACACCCAGGGAUGUGGAUGUCAUCGCUUUAGACUGCAGCCAGGAUGUGGGACUUUCAACAAAGCUGCCCAGAGGAUUCAACAUGCAACAGAUCUGAGAACCACAGACUCAACCCAAAGUUCAUCCGAAAGGCUCCAGGAUGGCAAAAGAUGUUUCCUUUCUAAAUAUCACUCACCAGUGCUCCUCUCCCAACUCCAAAAUGAAAACUCUCCUCUUUCUCUAAGAAUAGAAAGUAGGGAUCUGGUGGUUCUUGGGUAUAAUUGAGUUUAAUGUAUAUUUUUUUUUCUCUAAAAUCUAGGUGAGAGUCCUUAAAGCCAUGAAUCCAAGCACACAAUGUCCAAGAAGACACAGGAAGUUCAGUAUUUCCUACUUAAAACUAGAACUGUUGGUGGAGAAGCUUGGCAGAACCAGUGCUGCCGAGGACCUUCCCUGAAAAGUGAUAUUCUACUCUGAGACAAGCUGUACACGGGCAGAAACACAUGCCCGGUGUCGGUGUCACCUAGCCUCUGUGACAGUCCCGGCAGAUCACUUUAGUGCCACCCUCCUCUAUAGAGCACACUAAGUUGUCAGUGAUGGGAUGGAUCUUGACCUAUUGUUAUCCUUUGUUUAUUGAUUUUUUCCCCCUUUAGUUUGAAAGCAACGUGGAUCUCCAUCUAAAACUAUCAUUCAAAAUUCAUUCAGUAUUUCAUGAAGGAACUGAAAUGUCUAACUCACUAAACAAAGACCUUCUACCUCACAAGUCACGCUGUUUGGGCUUGGACGCUGUAGGUUAAAACUUCCAGGUUGUCGAAGAGAAUAACAGAUUUGAAUCAACUCAAGUUCUGUGUCUUGUCUUUGUAAUCCCGGCAAGCACUGUUUAUCCCACAUCUAUUAUUUAAGAGUGUGUCAGGACAUACGGCCAAAGACAGAACUCCAAGGACCUUUCAUGGCUCCAAACCAACAUAAGCACCCUGUGCACGUUGUCUGUCGUUGCCUGUGUGUGCAUGACCGUGCGAUUUGUAAAUUUAUCUCCUUGUGAAACAUGUUUGUUUUAAAUAAUAUAAAUGUGCUAAUUUGAAGCAAAUGUACUUACUAAUUUAUUUAUUUGUUAAAAUGCAUUCCUUCAAACACAGACCAAGUGAUUUGAGGGGUUAGGAACAUCUUUUCAUUGUAUGGAUGGCACGUGGUGAUAAUAAAAAGCAGACUGACUUCAGUC